AUUUAUGUAGUUUAUAAAAACAUUACACUUUCACUGUAAAGAUAAAUCAAAUUUCAUAAAUA
rnacentral:tRNA from 1 species